rnacentral:rRNA from 1 species
UACGGAGGGUGCAAGCGUUAUCCGGAUUCACUGGGUUUAAAGGGUGCGUAGGUGGGUUUGUAAGUCAGUGGUGAAAUCUCCAGGCUUAACCUGGAAACUGCCAUUGAUACUAUAGAUCUUGAAUUUUCUGGAGGUAAGCGGAAUAUGUCAUGUAGCGGUGAAAUGCUUAGAUAUGACAUGGAACACCAAUUGCGAAGGCAGCUUGCUACAGGAAUAUUGACACUGAGGCACGAAAGCGUGGGGAUCAAACAGG